rnacentral:rRNA from 1 species
CAGCCGCCACGGUAAUACGUAGGUGGCAAGCGUUGUCCGGAAUUAUUGGGCGUAAAGCGCGCGCAGGCGGUUUCUUAAGUCUGAUGUGAAAGCCCCCGGCUUAACCGGGGAGGGUCAUUGGAAACUGGGAGACUUAGAGUGCAGAAGAGGAGAGUGGAAUUCCAUGUGUAGCGGUGAAAUGCGUAGAUAUAUGGAGGAACACCAGUGGCGAAGGCGACUCUCUGGUCUGUAACUGACGCUGAGGCGCGAAAGCGUGGGGAGCAAACAGGAUUAGAUACCCGAGUAGUCCCUGUCUCUUAUU